rnacentral:lncRNA from 1 species
ACCAACAACAAACCCCAAACCAGCCUAUGCAAAACAGCAGCACAAGCCUAGGAAGAUCCAACCGGAACGAACCAAAUCAAAAACACCAACAACGAACCUCCGAUACAGAGAAAAGGAGACCUGACGAGAAGCCACAAACUAGCAACUACGGAAGACGCAGCUGACACCAACGUCCACCCACAAGACAGAAGAGAUUCGCCGUUAACGGAUAACCGCCACACGAACAACCAAAAGCAGCAAUUCCAAACAAAUUGACGCCGAGGAAGCUUCCACUUGUGUCACAGAUCCAAUGCCCUUCACUCUCUGCCACCAGAAGCUUGAAAACCGUUGAAGGAGAGACCGAUGAAGACACGAAGAAACAGAAGCUCGGAGGUGAGACCAAGAACCGGAUCAACACCAACACUGAAAAGGGAGAAAGGCGAAAGAGACCGGCUAGCUAAACCGGAAUCCAGAGGCACCACAAGCACAGCCACCGAAGGAGACCAUAACCAACAUUAGACGUGCGUACUUAAUAUAUACAACAUAACCAAAUUCCUUAGUUAUUAAUUACAGCAAACUUGCAUAA